UGCGUUGGGUUGACCCAUUUAAUUAAACGGGUUGAAAAUCUUGACCCAACCCUUUAUUAUUGGGUUGGGUUCGGGUUGGGUUGGUGGGUUGGGUCAAUUUUUGCCAGCUCUAUCCACAGGGAGGCUAAAGAAAGUCUAGGAAAAGGAGAUUUCACGCGAACUUCAACAUGUAUUAUAUUACACGAGUAGUCAGGGUAACAAAACUUUUUGCUUUUGGUGUUUUUGGCCUUUUUUUAGUGGAAUCAUUUUUAUUGAUGAGUCUUACAGGAUUCGUAAAGGUGAAAAGACCAGAUAAACUUCCUACAUGACAUAUAAUAAAUAGGUUGGUCUCUUUUUCUUGCUUGUUUGCAGAUCAUUCCCAGCUCUUUGGGUUCAUCAAGUGGUAGAUUGAGUUUAAAGUCUGGUUCAAAAUGUACCCGUUGAUGAUAUUGUUGUUGUUGGUGAGAAGAGAAACUCUUCUGGUUUAUAUUCCAGUCAAGGGAGUUCAUCCCAAUCAAGUUUUCCUACAUCAAUGGGUGAUAUGCAAGAACAUAUGAGAAAGCAGAUGAAGAUCCUGCCAUGAGAACAGUGUUAUCUUUGAUGUUGAAAAUUAUGAGCCCAUAUAUGAUGGCCAGCUUGAGUGAGCAAUUAAUUUGGCCUUAAGCUUUCAAAGAAGACGUUGUAAAAGCUCAAAAAGCCAUGUCAACAUUGUCACCUGAAGAUCUGGAUAAAAUGAUACUUUAUGUUUCUAUCCACUUUCUCUAGUUGUCAAUCUUGAAUCAGUAGGUUUCUAGAGAGAGGGGAUCUCCCUUCUCUCUAAAAACCCUAGCCCCCAAAUUACAGAAAAAUUCCCAGCCCCUUUUCCUGAUAAACUUCUUCAGUUAUCUGAAAGCCGCAGCCGUCGUUGGUUUCUUCCAUCGUCUCGCCCCGAUCUUUUAUCAGUUGUUCCGAUCUCGAUCCUCUCCUUGUUGUUGGUGGUUUUCUUUAACCGUCCCGCCACCUCUUUUGUUUUGACCGAUCUCUCUUCACCGAUGAUCUUCCGGGAAGACAGAUCUUUGACCCAGUCGGUGGAUUCGCCGCCGAUGCUGCCCCGUCUGCGAUGGGUUGUUCCGUUGAGUUUUUGAUGAUGGGUUUCUCGAUGAAGGGUAGUCGGUGCCUGUUUUUGACCGGUCUUCUCUUCGUCGGUGAUUGCGAUGUCUUAUCGCCGCCGUGUGGUUUGUUGGUGCCGCCGCCUUCGUUUCUGUCUUUGGUGGUCAUUGAAGAUGCUAGGCCUGGCUUCCUCUAGAAGCCUGUAGUUUAUUAUUAUUAUUUCUUUUUUAGUUUAUUUCCUGUAUUUUGUUUUGUUUUUAGUUAUGUUGUUUUAUAUUUCCCUUUAUCUAUUGGUCUUUCCCUGAGAUAGGGAGACCAUAGAUAUGUGUACCUUUCCUUAUUUAAAAAAAAAAAACUUUCUCUA